UACGGGAGGCAGCAGUGAGGAAUAUUGGUCAAUGGGCGCAAGCCUGAUCCAGCCAUGCCGCGUGCAGGAUGACGGUCCUAUGGAUUGUAAACUGCUUUUGUACAGGAAGAAACACUCCCUCGUGAGGGAGCUUGACGGUACUGUAAGAAUAAGGAUCGGCUAACUCCGUGCCAGCAGCCGCGGUAAUA
rnacentral:rRNA from 1 species